rnacentral:snoRNA from 1 species
ACGACCUUACUUGAACAGGAUCUGUUCUAUAGGCUCGUACCGUUGCAUCCUUUACCAAUAAGGAGGCAAGCACUCAAGUCUGGUUGAUGCGACAUAACCUCUGGGCCAGAGCGUGAUUAACGUCUAGGAUGUUCUCUAAUAAUUGAGCCAUCCGACGGCUGUAGAGGAUCGUUCCUGCCUGGGUUUACUUCCGGUGCAGGGUGGCCCAGAGAGGUUGUCUGACAGACA